rnacentral:misc_RNA from 1 species
UUUCCGUAGGUGAACCUGCGGAAGGAUCAUUAAAGUUAUAGUCCCCCGGCCCUCUGGGCUGGGGUCUUCUAUACCACCCUUUGUUUAUUACACCUUUGUUGCUUUGGCAGGCCUGCCCUCGGGCUGCUGGCUCCGGCCGGCUCGCGUCUGCCAGAGGACCUAAACUCUGUUUGUAUAUGAAGUCUGAGUACUAUAUAAUAGUUAAAACUUACAACAACGGAUCUCUUGGUUCUG